CAAUGUCAUAAAGAUUUUUUUUUCUGUAUGUGGUAUUGACGAUGAAGUCCAGGUCCUAAUGUACACUAGGCAAUGCUCUACCACAGAUCCACACCACUGAGCCACACAACAGUCCUGCCAGGGAAAUGUGUGCUUUGCACCCUGACCUGCAUAGACGUCAACUUUUAGGUUCCUGUAUUUAGAUGUGUUUGCUGGUUUUUGUCUUUUGUAUUCCUGAGGAUAAAACCCAAGACCUUGAGCAUAUGACAAACGCUAUUUAUACCAACAUAUGUUUCAGGUCAAUUUUAAUUUCUUUGGUGGCACGUGGACAUCCCCGUCUCGAGAUACACAUGGUACACCUUUCAAACAUCUGCUCACAGACACACAGCAUUGGCAUGACCGAAAGUUCUGUCCCAUCCCAUGAGACCUACCUAAGAUAACAAUGCCUGGCAAAUAAAAGACCUCAAGACAACUGUCCAGAGUGUGGAUGAGCUGAGGCAUCAGCGCUAGCAAGCCUGGGGACUAGGGGAGCAGGUGAGAGGGGGGGACUUCACUCUGCACACAGCCAAGGUGACUGACUGAGAGACUGUCUGAAGAGUACAAGGCAUUUAGUCUAGGCUCUGCCCCACAGUCACCUGGCAACAUCCAGGUGUGUCUGACUCGCUAUGAAAGAUGCUGCUUGCCCCCUCCUUUCUCUCUUGCUCUUGCUUCCCCUCCCUCUCCCCACAUGUGCUCACGGCUGGCCUCUCCCCCACCCUCUCUCCUCCCCUCCCCAUGCCCUGAAUAAAUUCUAUUCUAUACUAUACCAUCGUGGGAUUGGUCCCUCAGGGGGAAGGGGUGCCUCAGCAUGGGCCCCAGAGGCAUUCCUUUCCCCCACACCUUACCACACCUCCAGCAAAUAUAUCCCUGCCUUUCUUAUCUUUUUAUAAAACACAACAGCACCCUUGGGCAGAAGCAGGUACUCUAACCACUUAGCUCUUGUCUGAGUCAGAUGGAGGGGAAACAGUCCCAAAAUUGGUUUGAGGUUUCCUAGGAGUGGGGUGCAAAGGGAAGACAGAGAUCAGAUGUGGAGCAGCUAGCCUGGGCAUGAGCCAGGGUGGGACCUUGAAUAAGAAAAGAGAAGCACUUGUCCUCAUGACUGCCAUCCCUUGCCUGGAGCUUCAAGAGAGGAAGCAGGGCGAGCUCUCAACAGAUACAACAAAAAGAUAAAAGUGCUGGCAGCUGCCGGAGCCAUCCAUCCCUGCACCAGCAAGUGAUACAUUGUAGCGUUUGGGCCAGGAGAACACACAGCCCAGCUUUUGCCAAGGCUGACAAUCCUGGGGUCCUGGGGGAAGGACAAGGCAUCCUUGCAGGAGAAACGUGAUGGUCAGCAAGACCUCACGAGACACCGGCUUCUCCAGGAAGCAAGCUCUGUCUGCCUUUCCCCAGCCUGCCACUGCAGUGGCCUGGUUUGGGGCCAAGAGUUUGGAAGCCUCUGGUGAGCCAGCAGUUCCCAAGUGGCCGCAGGUCACAGCAGGGGAACAGAUCUAACUCUCAAGGCUCCCAGCGUUCCUCUUGUAAUGGAAAUAAAGAGGUCCUUAGGAUAGGCCUGGAUCUCUCAGCACUCUUGUCUUCUACAAAGAGAUUCGGACAGACAGGGACAUCCAAAAAGUACUCUGGAAGAAGAUGCUACGUAGCUUCAAGCCAGCAGAGCAGCCUCAGGAGGGAGCAUCUGAACCAACGCCUUCCUCUCCCAUUCCUAAACCCAGAACUGUGAGACGGAGAGGUUUCUGUCUCAUCUGUCCAGCCCAGGGUGCUCUGAUACAGCAGCAGACACCGGCAAAAACACAGGCAUUGGGGCCAGCCGGGAAGUAGUCAUGAUAAGUCUAUGACUGUCACUAUCGUUUGUUGAGGGGACUGUGACAAAAUGUGUGAGGAGCAGAGAUAUGAAAGGAAGCCCUUGCGGGGAGGGGCAGAACUGUAUGAAGGCUAUGUCUUACAGCCUUUGGCCUCGCUGAGGCCUUCCUAAGCCUCCGAGGGCCCAUUUUGAAGGGUGGGGGUUGCAGAGGUGGGGGCUGCAGGAGCCAACAUUCCCAGCCUGUGCGUGAGGACACAGCAGGGGAUACCUCUGUGUCUGUGUCCAACAGCUGUGACGCGGAGUUUUAAGAAGCAGCUUCCUCUCUCAGUGACCCAUGAGAAUUUCGCAAGCAGGGCGAGGGCAUAGAUUUGCCUAGAAAUGAACAGUUUGACCCAGCCUCAGAGAAAAGACCAGAAGGCUUCUUCUCCACUUAUUUGCAAGUGCUAUGAGGCCCUAUUUUGCUCCUUGCUUGGUUGGGGCUCAGUGCGGAUGAAACAACUGUCCCGUGGCCGGGAGACAGGAAGACAAUCUGCCAGCGAAAGGCAGGUUCGGGGGACAUUUUGGUGCAGACGAAGAAAUGCAGGCACAUGCACAAGGAGGCACUCAAGGGCCCUGGAAGGCUGCCCUGUGAUAAAAAUAGCUUCCAUUUGGCUACUGGGGCUUGAAGAUGCACCCACCAUUCCUUUUGUAGUUAAAAUGCCUUUGUUCUUCUGUUAAACACAGACCCCCUUGGGAAGAAUGUUCCCAGAAGUCUGCUACCUCCCAACCUCUUAGCAGAACCAUUUAACCAGCAAGGAAAUGCCAGCUGCACUUUAGUUGGGUUGGGGACAAGAGAAACAGCAGCAAAGACUGUGGGCAGAACUGUUUUCUUCUCCGCUCUGUACAUAGCUUAAAUCAAACAAUGAGCAAAAGGGGAACCCCAAAGGUGCAGGCAGAAGCUGGCCUGUCUGCUCCUCGGACAUGCACGGUUCUGCACAUCAGGAGCGGUCCGUAGCUGGGGCCGAACCCUUCGUUAUGGUGGAAGGGGUCUCACCAAGGAUGCGUGUGUUUGGCUUUGUCACCCCUAUGUCCUCAGAGCAGAGGGAUCUCCGUGUGUGUGGUCAUCAAAGUAAAGGUCCUAAGAGAGCCUUUAUCUUCUGCCGGCUACCGCCAUGUUGUUCCCCUUUCUGGUUUUGUGUCGGUGGAGGAAAGUCUGAGGCUCAGCAGGAAGGUAAAUGACCCAUGUUACUUUCUCCACUACCAACCUGGACGUGUGGUAAGCCACCAUGGCUGCCUCUGACCCCCGUGUGCACAUCUCCGCUCUCUCCCUGGCCUACAUCACCAGGCACAGUUUGUCUUCAUAUCAAGGUAUAAUUUUGGGGGCAAAAGAUUUAGGGGCCAAGGAGAAAUCUGGUAUAUCUAACUAUGCCGUCCAAAAGACUGCCCCUCCAUUUCUGCUUUUGCUAUUGUUUCAAGGUGAAUGGCUGGGUCUGGAGAUACGGCUCGGUGGUGGGCCGCCUGCUUAGACUGUGAGAAGCCCAGUGUUCCAUUGCCUGCGUUAUAGGGGGUGGGGAGGCAGAGGAGGAGGAGGAGGGCCAAAGGAAGAAGAGAAGGAAGAGGAAAGGGAAGAUGAGGAACAGAAGGAGGAAGAGAAAGAAGAAUAAGAGGGGGAAGAGGAGGAGGAGGAAGAGGCAGAGAAGAUUGUGGCUUGUCGCCUCUGGUUCAGAACUACCCCGGCAGAGUUCCCAUCCAGAUGGGAUUCUGGGUCUUGCUAAUCCCAGCUGACCAAGUUCAGGGUGCAGGGACAAUUUUCUUCUACUCUCGGGCUUGACGUGACCUUGGACACUGUGCAGUGGUCCAUCUGUAAAAAGUCGUGGCCAGUGAGGGCAGCAGAGGAAGAAACCAUGAGUGGGACCAGCACAGAGCAUAGGUCCAAAAUGCCCCCGUGAAAGACGCAUGUCAGAGGUGUGAAAACCACCACCAGAAAGUUGAGUGAGGAGCGUUGGCAGCGCGGGCAUCGUAAAGCAGAAGUGGGGAAAGAGCAGAUGACCUCGAGCCUGCCGCUAGUACCCAUAUGGCCCAAACCCCUUCGUGCCUUAGUUUCCCUUAGUACCGACUGGGGUGACGGCAGUGCCUGUGUCGUGGGAGUCAAUACCAAAAACACAAGAAAGGCUGACAUGUGGUUUCACCCAUGGGGUGACCAUGGGUGACCAGGGUCACUAUCCUGGUAAAGACAGUGAUGGGGUAGGGCUGAGCCAUUUCACUGCCAUUCCUUUUUUGGGGAAGGGCGGGAUAAGCAUUGCAAGGUGCAGAGAGAUAAAUUCUGGCCAGGCAAAGAGAGGUCUAGCUAGAAUGUGAGAGUCUGUCCUGGCUUGGGAAAAAGGGUCUUUGCAGAUAUAAUUAAAUUAAGGACCGAGAGGGGCUGGAGAGCUGGCUCUGUGGUUUAAAGCACUUAAUGAUCUUGUAGAGGAACUGGGUUCUGUUCCCAGAUUCUAGUCGGUGGCUCAGGGCUGCCUAUAACCCAAGAUCCAGGGGAUCUGAUGCCCUCUUCUGACCUUUGGGAGUUCAUUCCUCGUGCAUGUGGUGCACAUUUGCACAUAAACCCAUGCAAGAAUGCACACAUACACAUAAAAAUAAUAAUUUUUUUAAAUGAAGGAGCUAGGGAAGAGGUCAUCUCGGGUAGGGUAUCCCUGAACCCCUAUUAUAAAAGGAAAGGGGCAGGAGCUCAGAGAGGGGGAUGCUACCCUGCUAUAGAUAAGGCAGGAGGGCCCCAGGGUUGUAGAGAGAGGCUGGGCCUACCCCAGUCUGCUCACAGCUUCUGAGGCAAAUUCCCUGCCCACUCCUCUGUUUAGACUCUGGCCCCUUGGAAUGGGGGACCGUACAACCGUGUUGCUGUAUGCCUCCACGUUUGUGGUCAGUUUCAGGAAAGCCUAAAGACACCGGUGUAGGCAACGUUGUGGGUUUCACCUGUGAUGGAAACCAAGAAAGUGCUGUGUUAGAUCGGCAUGUGACUGACUGCGCCCUCGGUCACAGGACAGAUGCUUGAAUCUCCUGCUUUCAGAGAGUCGGCGUUCCUAGGCUUGGCUUUGCAUGUAAUUGGUCAUAUAUCGUUUCCUGGUGUAAUCUGUGUAGCAUAGUGGGGUGUGAGUGUCAAGGUCAUCUGAGGUCAUAGCCAAGGCAGAUCACUCACUCACAAGGGUCUGAUGAUGGAAACACCAAGAGCCUUAGAGGACCAAGAACCCCAAGGCCCCAGGGUCUAACUUCAGGCUGCAACUCAUUGGCCAAGUGACCUUGAAGGAGCCCUGGCAAUUCUCAGGUCUUGGGUUUCCAAACCAACAAAGGGGAAAGAUUUGGCUCUAGACUCUCUGGGGUCUCUUCUGCUAUGACAUCUCAGGGGUCUCUGCAGCUCCCCUACCCUGAGACAAGGAAGGAGAGCUAUGAGGAAGAAGAGGGUGUAUCCGACUGGUCCUGGGCGGUCCUGGGCUGUGUCCUCCAGCAAAGUGCAUGCUGUACAGGAAGGUGGGUAAGGGCGCUGGCACAAGGCUGUGCCCGUCGGCCAUGGUGCACUGCAGUAGCAUGGCGGUAUCCCAGGCAGGAUGCAGACUGCAGUCUGCAGAGGCGCCCCUCCUGGUCUCUUCCCUCAGGACUGGAGCAGAGUUGGUGCAAUUGUUUCUACUGAGCAGGUUUUUUUUUAAAAGGGGCAAGUUUUACUUUUCCUUCCUGAAUGUAUGCACUCGUGUGCAUGUGUGCACAUGCACGUAUGCAGACAUCCACACAUAAGCACACUUUCUCCUUCACUGUCCUUUCUCAUACUCUGAGUUUAUAAUGAAUCUAAAACCUGAGAAUACCUACUUCCCCCUCACCCUCUGCCAUCUCUCCGUGUGUCUGUUCUGAGCGUUCCCCUGCGGAUUCAUAGCAGGAUGAGCUAUUUAACCAUAUCUGCAUUUAAAGUGUAUUCUCUCCUGGAACUUUCUCAAUUAAAUCCCUGCCUCAAUCUUAGAUGAUAUUGACUCACACGGAGGCAGGAGCACAAACUCCAGAAACCAAAGACUCCUCAGGGUAAAAGUGGCACUUAGUGGCCCUCCUUCCACAUCUCGUGUGCACGCAAGGCUUUAGUUGUUUUUUUUUUUUUUUAUUUUUUUUUUUUUUAUUUUUAUCGAGAAUGGGAAAGCAGGUGCUUCCAGAACUGUCGAGAAUUUGCUGGUGGGUAGAGAGGAGCCGUCUUUUUUCCCCCUCUGGGAGAAAGCGCUGAGGGCCACCUGUCACUUGUCACCUUUGCCUCAGCUCUGAACACGAAGCUCCAGGAUUCCAAAGGAUCUUCCACCCUCCCUCCUCUUCAUCUCCAUCUCCAGCAGCAGUCUGCAACUUGCCAGCCACCCCAACGGUCCAGCAGCUGAGCAGGAGAGAGAGAGAGUCUGGGCGUCUGCUCCCCACCUGCAGGGCUGCUCCAAGCUUCCCCUCCACAGCCUCGUCUCCUUGCCCACCCAUCCUCUGCAGAGGACCCGGUAAGUAAGCUGAUGUCGGGGACAGCUGGGGUUUGAAGGAGAAUUUGGACACUGCAGCUUUAAGAAUGCCAAUGCCGUACUGCGAAAUCUUUCUCCUUCAAGUGACUGCAGAACCUCAGCAGUGGCUGCAGUGGGAGGAGGUGGCUGGAGGUGGGGUGGAGGGAGAAGAGGGGUGCCCACUCCCGGGUGGGUCAGCUCGUCGGGUACCUUGUCCUGGGAUGCACUCGGCCCCGGGCGAACCCAAAACACAAUCGGGCCGCACUUUCUCCGCUAGUUUCUUUCUCACGCGCUGGGGGCGGGGACCCUGCGGACUUCCUGAUGAGUUUGGGCUCAGUCCUGCCCCGGUGCAUGUCAUCUGCCGCCUUGCACAUGUGGCACGCUGGCUCUUUAAGCCAUGUGCAAUGGAGCUGGGGAAGGCUGGUCUGAGCUGUGUGAUCUUCAGCAGAGCUUGCACCUGGGGAUGCAGAGUCAGCCUUCAUGGCCUUGCUACUGGGCACGGCCCGGGGUGCAGCUUUUAUUUUUUCCUGGAUUUACUGAGAGGAGCGCAGGAGGGAAACUCAAAAAGGAUGACUUGCUCUUCCUGGAGUAGAGGCUUCGGUGUGAAAGGAAGAACGAAACCCCUUUGGCUGACAAAAAGUACCGACUGGCGGGCGCUGGGAAGUGGGGGAGGGGCCCCACAGAGAGUUCCCCUAGAUGGAGUCACCCUGCACAAAAAUGAGUAGAAAUGCACUCUGGUUACGGGUUCUUUCUGAGAAAGGUCCAAGCACCCCGAAACACCCGAGCUGUGUCUCUGGUACCCAGACUUCUGUGUGCCCAGCCAGUGUGUCACCCCAAAGCUGAGGUGCCAGCUGGCAAAGUUCCAGGCUGGUACUGCUGGCGUGGCAUCCCAGACACACAGUACUUGGGUCCAGGUCUGCAUUGGGGGUGAUGUCACAAAGUGCCAACAUCUGUCUGGCACUGAAGGACUCGGUUCCUUGUGAUUCCUCUUUCGACCGGGGGGGGGGGGGGGGGACCCUAGGUCUCAUAAAACUUCAGUUCAAAAGCUAUGCAGCAAACCUCUCAGAUAUAAAUUACCCGGGCAGCCUCUGAAACAGCAGUCCGAGUUAACUGCUGAACUGGUGGAGGGAGGUGACCUCCAUGGGUGCUUGCAGGGUGUUCUGGGUCUGUACUCCGCAGGGGGCUGCUGGCGUGCACCAAGCGCACACUGUGCACUGCAGUCUUCAGGGAAGUGUGCACCUCUAGACAAAUAUUUUAUGGGGAGUUGGACCGCAUACUUAUCCUGCCUGGAAAAGCAGUAGGGGUUGAGCUCAGACCAUUCUUAGCUCUUUUUUUUUUUUUUUCCAAAAUGCAUUCCCUGUAUAUCCAAAACUGUCUUUGAUUAAUCAACAUUAAUCAUUAAUUAAUCGACAACUUUAAUUCUUAGGUGCGAUUGUUUUUGAGCCAGCCCAAUGCAUCUGAACAUGUCAUUAGAGUCUCCAAUUUUUUUUUUUAAGAUCAUUGUCCCAUACUGCCUAAGAUGGACCUUAUGUCACUAGGCCUGAUUCUAGCUUGUCCUGGCUCCGCCCACAACCCCAGAAUUUGCUGGGGCAUGUCAUUUGGCUCUGGACUGAUCAUUCUCCCCCAUCCCUGAGAUGGACAUCUCUGUGACCUCCCCAACCUGGGGGAGGGCAAAAGAAUGAGGCAGGUGUGCCCAGGCAAACAGUUCUCCAGUCUGUGCCUCCAGGAGGCAGGAAUGACGAAUGAGAGCCCUUUCUGUGGGGAAUUAGCCAAGGGAGAAGCCUGCAAUAUCAGCUGCAGGGCAAAUGCUGUCAGGGGUCCACUGGCCCCCUAAAGGGACAUCAGAUGGUACAGGGACUUCUGAGGGGAAGCAGGUGACCCCAGGGCCUAGCACUCUGAUACUGCUAAGGCCUGUGAAAGUAACAGUACACACCGACCAGGGCUUCUCUAAGCAUCUCACUGCAAAAGGUCUGGCCUUAGACAGGCACUGUCAGAGCCAAAGUGACCACACCAAAGUGCUUGGAGGGGAAGUAUACAGGCAAGCUGGCACAAUGGCUUCAGAGAUAGACAGGGAGGGGGCUGCUGGCCCUCUGCCUCCUUAGACAGCUCUAUCUCUCAGUAGCAGAACAGAGAGCCACUGCUGAGAGGGGAGAUGAGUUGGGAGAGCCCAUGUCGCCAAGGUUUCUCAAACAAAAAUUCCAGGGCAGGUAGGGAUAACCUUCACAUCUCCUGGGACCCCUACAAGAGACAGCCAGACUUGGGGGAGGGUGCCUCAGAUCUCAUGGCCUUGCUUCACCCAGUGUUCCAAGUGGAGACUUAUAGGGCUCUGAGUAGACCUAGAGCUAGUGCUCUCUCUCUCUCUCUCUCUCUCUCUCUCUCUCUCUCUCUCUCUCUCUCUCUCUCUCUCUCUCUGCAUCAUCUAGAGUGCUCAGAGAGUAGUGAAUUACAGUACAGCGACGCUAAUGAGGGGAAAUGGGGCGAGCGCAGUAUCCCUGAAUCAGGUGGGGGGUGCAGUAAGAUGCUAAAACCAGUACACUCUGGUCCCAAGGCAGAGGGAGUGUGCAUUGGCUCCCGGGACACCCAACUGCACCAGCGCUGACUCAGGGCCCUUUUCUCCAGCUCUUCUACCCUAGCCUUGGCCAGCCAAGCCCUUGAAGCUAGAUUCUCCCAGGCUUCUUGCGCAGGGGCAGUUGGAGCCCAGACUGCUGCAGGCCCUCCUCCCCCCACCCCCGCCCUCCCCUCCUGGGCCAAGUCAGCAGUGCUGACGGCUGCGGGGCUGCAGCAGCGGCGGCGAUGCAGAGACCCUGCACCACUGCUCAGGGCGGGCGCAGUGCUCUGCCCGCACCCGCGUCCCGACGGCCACCUCCUGGCGGCUGCGCGUAGCCCGCGCCGGGUAGACCCUACCGGACGGCGGCGCUGAUUGGUGCAGCGAGUGAGUCCCUGGCUUUAUUUAGACCACCUUUUCUGGAAGACAAUACUUCACUAGAGUCGAGGGCUGGGGGCAGGAGGCAACCCUCCCCGGCGACGGGAGGAUGAUAAAUGAGCAGUUCUGUGCCUGGUGGCUGUUAACUCCAGUGGCUUUGCGCAUCCUCCGACCGACCAUUUCCACAGCUGCUUUGCGACUGCACACCCAAGUGUGGGGCAUGCUUAGAGGAAACUCCAGUGGAGAACAAGAAGACCCUCAGAAGGGUUAGGAGGGCUUGGGACCAGACCGGGGAACCUGUGUCCGGGCACCGGUUUUGGAUCUUCUGCUCUGAGACACCAGCUUGGAAGACAAGGCUGCCUUCUUGUUUGGGGGGUAAGGAUGGUGUUUUCAACUAAGGCAUCUGAUAGGUGAGGCGAAGGGACCUACUGGGACCCUAUUCUUGAAUGUUCUUCUUUGGCUUCUCUGGGACAGCCUGUGGCAAGAAAGGCUUGGAAGUGGUGGGCAAAGAUUUGCGCGCCCCGCAGCAGCGUACCAUUGGCAGAAGGUUGAAGUUGGUUGCGAAGUCCGGUUUCCUCUGCAGAGGGAAAGGAACCCAGUGAAUGUGGGUGGGGUCCAGAGCCUCUGGCCCUCUUGGGUGAGAAUAUGGGCUUUAGUGGCAGGAAGCAAGGCCUGGAAACAGAGAGGGAAGCCUCAGGGGUUCAGGAGGCAUCUUCUACCCAGAAUUGUAAACGGUGGGGAAAGUAUUUGGGCAAAUAGCUUGAAAUUGUUACUCAGGAGCCCAUUCCUGGUCUCCCAGGCAAAGCAGGAAGUCAUGGCAUGCUGCACACCCUUGAGCUGGCCGUCGUGAGACACUUCGGAGGCUGGGCCUCUCUGUCCUGGACCCCGAAGUUCACGCGGGAAGACAUAUUGCCCUGUGUCCGUCUUUUCCAGCUUUGGGUUGAGGGUCUCCUCCUCCCAGGCUGCCCUUGAGGCCUGCAUUGUGCUGGGGGUUGGAGGAGGAGGAGGAGGGAAGUUGGGGAGAAGGUACUGAGUUAACCAAAGUAGCAGGGCCAGCAGACCCCGGUGUGUCUGUGCUGAUGUAAUCAGUUUUAGGGACUGGUCAGGCCUGUGGCUGUCCCAGAACUGACACCAGGGAUCCCUCUUGCUCAGCCCAGGACAGGACAGCAUUGCGGUUGUGUCUCCCUGCCAAGGACGCAGGGUGAGGUGGCUCUCCAGAAGAGGUUUACCCUUCAGGCAGAACCAAGUGGUCAGUCUAGGGACUCCGAGAGUUGACAGCUACAGGAGGUUGGCUUCCUCCUGACAAUGAGAUGCUGGUGGAGGUUACCCUGUGAAGAGGCAGCGCCCAGACUCUGGGAGUCAGGCAGAGGCAGGGGUCACAGGGAAAGAUACUAAGUUGCUAAUGCUAUCCAAGGCCUGCAGUACUUCAUCUGUCCCUGGUCAGCAGUUUCCCCACUGUCUGUCUUCUGCAGAUCUGACAAAGGAUCAAGCUUUGUCAUUCUUUUCAUGCACUUAAACUUUAACCCCCAGGGCCCAAAGCACAGUAACUUUGAGACUCUCUAGACUAAGCCUCUGGAAAUUAUCCACCCAAACUCUGAGCUGAGCUCGGAGUGGAAGAGAGCUCCAGAGGAGAGCUGACUUUCCCAAGGACACGGAAGGCUCAGGGCUGACCUGAGAUCAUCAGCGCUGGACCCACCGGGUACCCCGAUGGUGACAGAGGACAAGGUAAAGAAACUGGGGAUCUGGAGGGGAUACAGGCGUGGGAGCAAGGCUGGGUGAAUACGAGACAAUUCCGCUUCACUCCCUUUGAGCGCCUCUGCAGCGCCCCUGGUUUACAACUGUCACUGGGCAACGUGCCAAGGGGAGAAGCCAUUCUGCUGCUUUUAUAGUUCCUCCUCUGCAAUUCUGGAAAAUCAGGGCCACUUGGGUCUGGCGGCUCGCUGUCUGGUUAUUGGUACUGUAAUUCAGACUUUGGCCAGCAGGUGGCUCCCAAGGACACGGUAAGGAAAUGGAACCGGCGCUCCGCCCGGCAAGCCGGUUUCCAAGAAAGGGGUUUUCAGUUUUCCAUGGUCCGGUGAGUUGAGGCAGACAAUAGCUUUCUUUCUUUUUAUUUUUUUCUUUCAAGAACAAGAACAAGAAGUUUGCUUAGAAAUAUCUGGAGCUGUUUGAUAUCUGUGUCACCUCCUGAGUCAUUUUAUUUUUGCGAUGCAAUGUGGUUUAUUUGUGGGAAUUCCACCGCGGUUCUUAGAGCCGAUCUGACCUGUCAUUUGUGCAUUAGCGAUUACCGGAAAUUUAGCAAUAUUCCCAAGAAAGGUCUAUCAUUCUAUAGAGUGGCCAAAGCAGGUCCUGAACUCAGCCUCUGCCGAGUUUCAGGGGCUCUGUAGACAUCGUGCUUGCAGAAUAUCAAAAAGACAAGCAAGCACUGACGCGGACAGGGAUCAUCGACCAGCUUUAGUGCCAUUCUUACCCCGUCAACUUCUCCUUCAAGGAUCGAAAGAUAUUUCUGUCUUUGGCAAUAUCUGUUGGGAGUCUCAGCUCACUUUUGUAUCCAGAGAGGUCCCUGUUUCUUCCCAAAUGGUUCCUUGUCGCUAACUCGCCUUGAUGACCUUCAGAGGUGAAUUACUGCAAUCCUCUAGGAAUCAGCCCAUUUGCUUAAAUCAGAUUGUCUUGCUUCCCUGUGAUAAAACACUCCUUACAGACUCCAGUGUCUGCGUUAGAUGCUCGUGUCUUGGUCACUUCCGGUUUAGGUCGAAGUGGGAGUCUGUAUUCUAUAGCAACCUGAGUGGACUGCAGAUGCAGAGAGCUGCCAGACCCCUGCUGAGAUCUAGGUGACCUUGACAGGGUUACAGAGAAUCAACCAAGAAACUUAGAGCCACCUUAUAUGUGACCAAUAAGCAAACCAGUUUUUAUUUUUACUUGCUUUAAAAAUUAUUUUCAUUCGUUGUUAGAGUGUUGUGUGAGUGUGUCAGGGGGUACUCGUGCAUAGAGAUCAGGAGAUGAAUGGCCGGAGUCAGUUCUAAGUCUUCUAUCCAGUGGCUUCUAGGGAUUGAACUUAAGUAGUCAGGUUUGGUGGUGAGCACUUUAGGCCAGUUCCCUGGCCCUGUUUAAUUCACUGAUGGUGCAAAAUCAUUACAUUUUCUACAGAUUGGAAUUCCCCUCCCCCAUACCACACCCCGAACCAGUCCCCUUGGGACAGGGUUUCAUACUGUGUCAUCGGCUGCCUGGCUUUGAACUCGAAGCAAUCCUCAGGAUUUCAAAAGCAUGCCUCCCGAGUGCUGGAAUUACAGGUACGAGCCACUGACACUCAGCUGUACCCUCUUUACAAUUCAGUUUAACACAAAGAAUGUACUGGCAGCUGAGGUUGCAUUUCUGGAUUAGAACACUUGCCCAGCCUGCACAAGGCCUUGGGUUCCAUCCCUAGACCUAAAUAAAGAAGAGAACAAAGAAAGAAUAAUCGGUUGACUAUCUACCGUGAGCGAUUCAUGGGAGUAUGAAAAAGGUAUGGGAAGCAAGGUCUCCAUGCCUUUAGAAGUCAACAGGAAGGGUGUCAGUGGUUCGGUAGGCAAAGAUGCUUGCCAGUAAGCCUGGUGAUCUAGGUCUAAGCUCCAAGAUCCACAUAGUGGAAGAGAAAGGACUCCCAAAAACUGUCCUGUCAUCCCCACACUCACAGCACAAUAGUGCCCCCACAUUCAUACUAAACAAACUCAUCAGUAAAUAAAUGUCAGAAAAUAUUUAAGUCAAUGUGGGAGGAAGGCUAGAGAUGUAGCUCAGUCGAUACAAUGUUUCUCUGGUACGCACAAGCUCCCAGGUCAACCCGGGUGUACAGAGGUUGGUGAACUGUUCCUCUAGUCCUAGCCUUUGAGAGAUUGAUGCAGAAGGAUGGCGAACGGUCUUGCUUUCCCUCCACAUGCUAGGCUGAGCAGCUGGGAUGAUAGGGCCUGAAGCAUCGUGCCUGAUGGGAGCCUGAGACCGACCUGGUCUGUCAGCAAAGUUCAAGGCCAUCAUGAGUUGUAUAGUGAGACUCUUGCAAAAAAGGAAAACAGACAGGUCACAAGGGAGCUCAGUGAACUGCUACUUGCCUAGCUCCCACGAGGCUCCGGGGUUGAUCCCCCACUCAAAGGGGCAGAAUCCAUAGCAUUGCACUUCCUCACGAGAGAGGAACAAAGACCAGGUCACAGGAGCCUCUCCGGAUGACAGAGCUUCCGGGUAGCUCCUGACUUUUCCUUCUUGGUCCAUGUCCUGGAGAGGAAGAGUUGCUGGCUGACAGGAAUCCCAGGGCUCAGCUUCUCCUUCGCACAGCUCCUUUGGCCAUCUCUGUGGUUGUGUUCUUGGGCAUCUUGUUGAGAGGCUGUCUGCUAUGGGUGAAGUGCUUCUCCCGGGCUUGGAGUGUUUUCCUUGCACUCUGAGUAAAUAGCACAAUUACACCAGGCUUCGGCAGUGUGUGAGCAAAGCAUUCCAUUUCAGUGUUUAAAUCAUGCCUUUCUUUUUCUAAUGCUAUUUUGACAUUUCUAUGUAACUAGCAUCUCAAGUGCCCCAAGAUAUGACCGCAGCCUCAAUGCCUUAAUGCGCCUCUCCCCAUCACCCCCAGUCUCCUGUUUGGGAUCCAAAGGUCAGCUUGUCCUGCGGUCAGAAUCUUGUAAAUGGCCCAUUCAAAGUCUCUGAGAGUCUAGGCUGCCCCCAUAUGAUAGGAUUUGUGUGUGUGUUUGUUUAAGACAGGGUUACAGUACGCAGCCCUGCCUGGCUUGGAACUCACUAUGUAGACCAGGCUGGUAUUGAACUCACAGAGAUCUGCCUGCCUCUGCCUCCGAAGUCCUGAGAUUAAAGGUGUGUGAAAUCAUACCAGGCACAUUUUGGUUAUUUCACAUCAACAGGCCUCGUGAGCAGCUGCUUCUAAACACACAACAGGAGUCAGAUGGCCUAGCUCGUGAUAAAAUUAUACAACGGAGCUGGGGGUGGUGGGCCUUUGCCUGCGAUUCGAGCUACCCAGGAGGCUGAGGCAGGAAGACUAAAAGUUCAAGGUCACCUGGGCAACUUAGUGAGCGCCUAUCUCAAAUUAAUUAAAAAACAAAACAAAACUUUAGAGGGCUGGGGAUGUAACUCAGUGUAAUCUCCAGUGGAGAGAGAAUUUGACUCCCACGUGGGAGACUUGGGUUUAAUCUGCAGGAAAAAUAAGAACUGUGAAAAGCUUGGAGCCUGUCUGUGACGUUCCUGCUGUCCUUGACCCACCAGCCACCCAGACCAGACCAACGGGUUCGCAAGGAACCCAGCUGAUCUUACUGAGUCCCUAGAGCCCACCUGUGUCACCUCUGAACCAACUCUCAGUUCUUCUGAAAGGUUAACCCUUCUGUCAGAGACACCAGUCUAUAUUCAUAUCGUUGUUAAAGGUGCAGGGUCCUUCGGUGGCCCAGGACUGCAAUCCCUUAAGGGAAAGCAAGGGAAGGCAUCCCUCCUGGGGAGAGAAGGUGGAGAUGUAUGACCUCUUGGUGGAGGCAGGACAGAGGUAGGAGCUUUGACAGUCACCACAGUGUGCCCCUGACCUUGAACUGCUUUAAUCUUCCUAACUGCAUUGCCUCUUUGCCUCCUUAGCUUCCAGUGACCCAAAGUGGUUUCUGUCCCAACACGUUCCCUCACGGUGAGAGAGACUCAGCUUCAGCCGGAAGCCGGGUAAGUGUUCCUAUCUCUUCUGGCCAGGGAUCAAUGCUUUCCAAGUUUUCUGACAGCAUAUUGAGCAGCCUUUCUUCUGGUAGAAGAGGAGGUGGGGCUCGGCCUGCAGCUCCUUGUAUGCUGGAAACUCUGUAGCAGAUGGCUGUGAGCAGACAGGAUAGCAGAGGCAGGACAGGACCUGGGUGGUUAUGAGUCGUCCCUGCAGGAUCCAUGUUUGGAAGUGUCUCCGUGGGGGAUCUUGCUCUGUGGAACGAUCCCCAGGCUUGUUCUGUGGGUCUAUAAUGUCCUUUAGAGUGGAUCCCUCUUGGGGGGGCCAGUCUUUUUUUUUUUUUUUUUUUUUUUUUGGAUCUUUUUUUCGGAGCUGGGGACUGAACCCAGGGCCUUGCGCUUCCUAGGCAAGCGCUCUACCACUGAGCUAAAUCCCCAACCCUGGGGGGGCCAGUCUUCAGCUGAGCUCUGAUUAGUAAGUAACCUAUUUCUGCCCUUAUCACCCCUGCAUCUCCCUCCUAACCCCCCCACUCCAGGAUGUUUUUAAAACCAGGUUGUCCCCCUCUGUUGUGCGUGGGUCGCCUUCCCUUUCCUGAGUAAUGGGGUGGACUCCUUCGGGUACAUACACGAGAAAUCAGGUGUCUGCACUGAUGUUUAAAUUAGAAGAGAACUAUUUUCCUUCUAUGUCCCUUUGGAGAAUUGAAAUGAGUACUUGGUGGGGCAAGGGCAUGGCAUACAGCUUGAUUGACAGAGCAUUACUGAGCCCUGUUCUGAGCCCCAGGUUCUACCCCAAGCACUGAGUAAACUUGCCCAGCAACCCUCAGGAAGUCAGGAGGAUCGGACAUUUAAGGUCAACCUCAAUUACACAAUAGGGCAGCCUGGACCAUAUGAGGUCAUGUGUCAAAAAGAAAAAGAAGGCUAAGCGAGGUGGCACAGGCCCGAGGUGGUGCAGGCCUUUAGUCCCAGCUCUUGGGAGACAGAGGCAGGUGGAUCUCCUUGAGUUCAGACCAGUCUGUCCUGCAUUUCAAGCUGCAGGAUUGUAAGAACUGAAGAGAGAAACCCUGUCUCAAACAAAAUCAAAACAAAGCAAAACAUAACAAAAUGGAACUGAAAGGGAAACCUGAGACCAGCAAGACCAUUCAGGGUGAGCGUGUUUGUCACCAAGCAUGAUGGCUGGAAUUCAGUCCCCAGAAGCCACAUGACCAAGGGACAAAGCUGACUUCUACCAGUCCUCUGACCUCCACAUGUGGGCUUUAUAAAUAAGCAAGUAGGUGGGUGACUAUGCUGCCCUGUCUGUCACUGUCCCUCAAGGAAGAGACCCUGGAGGGAGGGAGGAUCUAUGUUCAGGGUUACCACAGUAGUGCCAGCAAGAUGUGCUGCCCAUUCAGGGAAGACUAAAGACUGGAAUGAAAGGCUGAGAUACUCCAUUGCUCACAUUACAGAUGAGAACACUGAGGUUCAGGAAAGCUGAAUAAUGUUUCAAAGGUCACCAUGAAGCAGGUCAGUGGGUAGAAGGAGAGAACUGACUCCCAAAAGUUGCCACACACCUCCAAGUUGUGUUCUCCCUCUCUCUCUCUCUCUCUCUCUCUCUCUCUCUCUCUCUCUCUCUCACACACACACACACACACACACACACACACACACACCUCACCUAAAUUAAUUGAUUGAUUGAUUGAUUGAUUAUGUGUAAAAGGAAAGGAAGAGAGGAAGGAAGGAAAACAAGUAUGCCAGUGCACAUCUGGGAUCCCAGCUCUUGGGAGGCAGAGGCAGGAGGAUCAAGAGUUCAAGGCCAUCCUCAGCUACAUAGUGAAUCUGAGGCCACCUGACAUUUGAAACUAUGUCUCCAAAAACAUCCUUCUGUUUUUAAGAAAAAGAAAGAAAGAAAGAAAGCAGGCUUAGAGUUAGUUGGGGGAAGUUCAUUUGGGGUUUGACUCUUGUGAGACAAGACCUCAUAGGAAGGUUUUUCACAGAGGAAUGGUGUGGACUGCCCUCCUGUAUAUAUCACUCCUGAUGCUGUGUUGAUCAUGGACUCUGGUGAGCAAGGGUUGAGUGACACCAGGUAGGACAUCAGGCACAAUCAAGAGCAGUGGAGUAACUUGGAGGAGAUUAGAAACAAUGUGUGUGUCUGGAAGGUAGAGGAGUCCUGAAGGGGGUCUGCUUUGGGUGGGGGCAGCAGGCUGGGCUGGUGGAUGGGAUAGCCUGUGGUACAUGUGUAUCUGGAGCUCUGGCAGGAGGGAGUUGCUGUCUUUGGAGCUGGGGUGACCCCAGAGGUGUACCAUGUGUAAGUUGGGGUACAGAUGGGACCUUAGCUUUGUGCGUGAUGUUCCUCUACAUAUCCUGGGACUUUGCACAGAUAAUUGUUAGAGCAUAGGGCGUGACUUUGGGUGUCUGUGGUUAAAUGUUGCCGAGAGUCCAGAGUGGACAGGAUUGUUAGGGCAGAGAACAAUGGCCAAGCCCAGGCAUCCUCCAACUGCAUGAGACAGGAGAGCAGAGAAGGAGCCUGCAGAAGAGACCAGUGAAUGACAGGAGGCACUGCUGAGGCCCUGAGAGGUGGCUGCAAAGACCAGGAAACGUGUGCUGUCAGCCCUCCACACCAGGGACUCUGAACCCAUGGUUGGAUGAUUGAUAGAGAGAUUCCCUCAAGACAUGGACAAGACAUAAAUAGGACAGACAAGGAUGUGUUGUUUAGGUUUUUUGUUUUCCUUUUUCCAUUCUCUCUAUGGGUGUUUGUGUCUGUCUGUCUGUCUCUGUCCUGUCUCUCUCUCUGUCUCUCUCUCUGUGUCUGUCUCUGUCUCUCUGUCUCUCUCUGUCUGUCUGUCUGUCUCUCUCUGUGUGUGUGUGUGUGUGUGUGUGUGUGUGUGUGUGUGUGUGUGUGUGCGUGUGUGCGCAUGUAAGAAACUGAGGCAGACACUGGGAUUCAUCCUCAAAGGCUCAGUGAGGCAGGGCCUCUCAAUCAAACCCAGAGCUCACCAACACGGCCAGCCUAGUCGCCCAGAUUACUGUGGGGAUCUCUUGUCUCUUCCUUCCAAGGAUGGAACUUCAUGUGGGCCAAUAUGGCGACCCAGCCUUUAGGUGGGUUCUGGGGAUCCGAACUCAGGACCCCAUAUUUGGGUAGCAAGUGCUUAAUCACCACGCUGUCUCCCAGCCUAUGGGCCAUGGUGUUGUUAUUUUUGUUUUUUAAGACAGGGUCUUUUUAUAUAACCCAGGCUGGCCUGAAACUGGCAAUCCUUCUGCCUCAGAGUCUCACGUUCUGGGAUCACAGGACAUUCCCCUCACACUAGGACUUGGAGCAGCUUUAAUGCUGCCUGCCUAAACUCAUUAGACAUGAAAUUAAGAAUCACUCAGGCUUAGGGGUUGGAGGAGGGCAGAGUCAGGACCACAAGGUGAAUGGCUGUUGGUCACUGAUCUAUUCGAUCUGUGGACCCCAUUGGUUGGGUUGGGGGUUGGCGCUGGCCUCCACCAUGGACUUCCUGCAGAAAAGACUUCUAGUCCCUGGUCUAUGGACCUGGUGCUAAUCCUAUGGUGAUCAUGUGAUUGACAGACCUUGAUGGCCAGCUGCCAGACGCGAAGACCCAUCAGUCCUUAAAAAUAAUCCACUAGGGGAAUUAAGGAAGGCUCAGCGGAUGGCACAUAAAUGUAAGGACCUGGUUCAAACCCCAGAACCCAUGAGAAACAGAUACAGGAGAAUUUCAAAAGCUCAGGGUCUGUGUAGCCUGGCAAACAGAUGGUAGGCUGUCGCUGGUUGUUCUCUGACUUGCCUGAGAUGACCCAGAUUUCACAUACAAGAAUGUAUACACAUGUGCACACACACACACUGAGAUACACACACACACUGAGAUACACACACACACACACUGAGAUACACACACACACACACUGAGAUACACACACACACACUGAGAUACACACACACACACUGAGAUACACACACACACACUGAGAUACACACACACACACACACUGAGAUACACACACACACACACUGAGAUACACACACACACACUGAGAUACACACACACACACUGAGAUACACACACACACACACACUGAGAUACACACACACACACACACACACACACACACACACACACACAGCUUGGUUGGUAGAAUGCUUGCCUAGCAUGCACAGUCUUGGGUUCAACUCAAAGCACUGCAGAAACAGGGCGUGGCGGGGUGCAGAGGUCGCUCAGUGGUUACAGCACCGGCUGUGCCUACAGAGAGAGAGCCUGGGUUUGGUUCCCAGCACCCACAUGGUGGCUCAUAACAUUCUGUCACUCCAGUCCCAGGGGAUCUGAUGCCCUCUUCUGACGUCUACAUGCAUGGUACAAAUUUGGUCUGCAUAUAUAACAUACAAGCAAGAAACUCACACAGAAAAUAAAAGUAAAAUAAGAUAAAAUAAUAAAGCCGGCAGAUGGGCUGGAGAGAUGGCUCAGUGGUUAAGAGCACCCGACUGCUCUUCCAGAGGUUAUGAGUUCAAUUCCCAGCAACCACAUGGUGGCUCACAACCAUCUGUAAAGAGAUCCGAUGCCCUCUUCUGGUGUGUCUGAAGACAGCUACAGUGUGUACUUAUAUAUAAUAAAUAAAUAAAAUCUUUAAAAAAAAAAAAAAAGCCGGCAGAUAUGGCCGCCCACACCUACGAUGUGAGAACUCAGUAGGAAGAGGCUGCAGGAUCAGGACUUCAAGGUCAGCCAUCUGAGAGGGAGGGAGUUCAAGUACGGCCUGAGCUAAAUGUGUCUCAAAAACACAACAACAACAACAACAAACUUUCUUUUCUUAAGGAAAAGGAAAGAAUCCUUCCUUCUUUAUGUUAAAUUUCGCUGUCUGGGCUGUAAUCAAGCACACUGGGCUUUUUAUUUUUAUUUUUGUUUUUUUUUUGUUUUCCUUCUGAUUGCUUCUUUGAUGAAGCCUUUAUCCAAACAGGCUAUCCCAAUUUACUUGAAGAAAAUAGAGCUCUUUUUUCUUCCUCUUUCUUUCUUCCUUCCUUCCUUCCUUCCUUCCUUCCUUCCUUUCUUUCUUUCUUUUGUUUUUUGGUUUGUUUUUUUUUUUUUUUUGAUGUUUUGUUUUUCAUUUUUACAAACAAGACAAAGUCUUUCUAUGGAGCACAGCAUAGUGGUCCUCCUGCCUGGGCCUCCCACCUUGCCCACAGGUAGCACAGAAGCUCCUAGGAGAGCCUGGAGAGGUCAAAGGGCAACUUACAAGACUUGGUCCUCUCCUUCUAGCAUGUGGGAUCCAGGGAACAAGCUUUGUUUAUCAGCUUUGCAGCAAGCACCUCUACCCCCUGAGCCAUCCCGUCAGCUGUAGGGAUUGUAUUGAGCUGCAGAGGCAGCACAUUCGAUACAGAUUAUCGGACAGGGAUUCGUCUUGACAGUGCACUUAUUGGUGAAAUAACUUCCCAUCUAUCUACUGACUGAUGAUCAAUUCUGUCUUAGAACGAGGUGCUCCUUGGUGCUUGAUCAGAGAAAGGUUGGUUUGACUCAGGAGCCACACAGAAGCUUUAGAAACAGGCAAGUCUGCAGGAACUUAGGGCUCCCGGAGUCCAGGCGUUCAGCAGGCGGUGCCGGGGAGCACAAUGAGAACCGCUUCUUCUGUUGCUGCGGUUUUUAAUCCCGUGGCGAUCUGUCUGCCCAAGUGUGGCCUUGUUAUUCCCAUACAAGGCCUAGAGAAUUGUGCUUGGUGUUAGCCAAGGGUCUCCACGGGCUCCAGAGACUCCUUGGAGCAUCCAUCCCCAUGCCACACGUACACAUGCAUGCACACAUAUGCACACAAGGACAUAUACUGGCCUGUGCCAGGGUCCACUUUGGGGCAGUAUCCUUGGAGUCCUCUGGGAAGGGAUGGGCUGCCUGGGUCUCUCGACUCAGGGCCCCAGCAGAGAUCAGGUGAUAGGAUGCCACACAAGGACAGCUUCUAGGUCGGGGGGAGUGAGUGGACUUGGAGGGAACCAGCCAAGUUGGGAAGAAAUGAUGCAAAGACUGCUUUGUUCCCCUUUCCCUUCUGAUGCUGGGAAAGGAUUCAGGGCCUCCUGGUGCUGGACAAUAUGGUACAGUUAAGGCCCCCUUGUUCUUUUGUUUCAAUCUUUGUGUAUGUGAAUGUGCAUGCGUGUGUGCAUAUGUAUGUUUGUAUAUGUGUGUUUACCUCUGUGAGUGUGUCUCUACAUGUCUGUCUCUCUAUGUGUGUGUCUGAGUGUCUGUGUGUCUGUGUCCUAUGUGUGUGUUUGAGUGUGCGUCACUCUGUGUGUGUGUGUAUGUCACUGUGUGUGCGCGUAUGUGUGUCUGUCUCUCUAUAUGUGUCUCUCUGUGUGUGUCUCUCUAUGUGUGUCUGUGUCUGUCUUUCUAUAUGUGCCUGUCUCUCUAUGUGUAUCUGUGUCUGUGUCUGUGUAUGUCCUGUGUGUGUGUGUUUGUGUGCCACUGGGUGUGUCUUUCUAUGUGCGUCUGAGUAUCUGUGUGUAUGUCACUGUGUGUAUGUGUGUGUAUGUCACUGUGUAUGUGUACACGUGUCUGUCUCUCUGUGUCUCUCUGAGUGCCUGUCUCUGUGUGUCUGUGUAUGUCGCUGUAUGUGUGUGUGUCACUGUGUGUGUGUCCCUGUGUGUGUAUGCCAUAGCACAAGUGUUGAGGUCAGAUAACAACCUCAGGUCCUCAACUUCCUCUUCGUCUGAAGCAGGGUCUCUUGUUUUUGCUGCUGGCUUAAGAACUUGCAGGGGCUUCUCCUGUGCCUGCCUCCCAUCUUGAAUAGCAGCACAGGAAUUACAGAUGUACACAACUGUGCUGGCUUUCCACAGGCCCUGGGGGCUCUCACGCCUGCACACAAGGGCCUUUCCCUCCUGAGAUGAACUUGCCUUAACAUCAACAGAUACACUGUGGCAAGGGUAGUCACAAAACCAAAUGUCUUGGUUUAGUUUUGGCUUACUGUUAUAAAACGCCUGAGUCCAAGGCAACCUAUAGAAGGGAAGGUUUAUGGUUCCAGGGGGACAGCAGUUUACUACUGUCACAGCAGCUAGGAGAGUGGGAGCAGGGAGUGUGGGCACAGGAACAGCCAAGAGCUCACAUCUCAGAUUGUAAGCAGGAAGCAGAGGGAGGGAACUUGAAGCUCUAUAAACUCUCAAAGCCCAUCUCUAAGUAACUCAGUACUCCAACAAGGCCACAUCUCCUAACCCCUCCCAAACUGGGCUACCAUCUGCCCACCGAGCAUUCAAAUGCCCCAGACAGUGGGUAAUAACAUAUACAAAUCACCACAUCGUGAGAACACCACUGGUCUUUAAUUCUAGAACAUUCCCAGCCUCCUUAGAAGAUCCUUCUCUACAUACAAGAGAUCUUGACAAGACGUCAGUACUCCCUGGAUUCGGGGCGCUCUGGAUGACUUAGAUCUAGAAACAUCUGGAACACUUUAUAGAUCAGGUUAGAGAGAAAAGAAAACAGGGACCUGACCACCUCUGGACAUCAGCAGCCAUAUAGGAGAUGCUGAAGAGUCCUAGGACACUACAAGACGGCUGUGUCUGGGGACGAGGGCUGCUGCUGCUGGGGGCUCAGCUGACAUUGUUGAUGCUUCUCCGAUAUUCCCUCUCUCCAGAGACCUCUGCAUGGGCAGUGGGGCUCCAAGCGUGGGCUGAUUUGUAUUCUAAGCCAAACACCAGGGAGAGGUAGAACCAAGCUGGGGGAACAGAGGCUAUGCAAAAGCAGUUCUUAGCCAAGCACAUUCCUGCCAUCGCAGCUUUCGGGGAGCUGAGGCAGGAGGAGCCGAGGCAGGAGGAGCCAGAGUUUAAGGCUAGCUUGUGUUACCUAGCCUCAAAAACAAAACAAAAAAGAAAGAAACAAAGCAGAGGGUUGGGGAUUUACUUGUGAGCAGUGAAAAGGCCCCAGGUUUGUUUCCCACCAUACGGGAGGGGGGGAAUUUGUAUACAGUGACAUCAUAAAGAAGAAAAGGGGGCCUCUGAGGAUGGAAAAGUGGGCAGGAAUCAGGCAUUUUUAGUUUUCUAGUUGGUGGAAUCUAGUGUCAAUGCAGUGUGUCUGUCUCGUGUGAGCUGCCCACACCAAGGCGUUUGGUGGCUCUCAGAGAAAAGUAGGAUACAGGAAAGCCAGUGGGAAUGGAACACCCAGAUUCGAAUGCUCCCAUGGGUCUGUCCCUGUGGAAUAGAGAAUGACGGUCCUUCAAGCUUGUGACAUAGAUGAACAGGUGGGUGCAUGGGAACGUCUGUGUCUGGUACUUAACUGCAGUCCUUAGGACACUCCACCCCCAGCGCAGAGCACACGUGUUCAUUCGGUUUUUCUUCCCACCGUGACAAGUGACAAGGGCCGAGUUUUACUUUACUGGUCGUCACCUGGGAAUUAGAGAGGACCAGGGGUUAUCUCAAACAGAUUCUUUGAAAAUCUCCAGGGGAUCUAUCUAGUGUUACAAGAGCCUCCAUGGGGGAAAGGGGUGUGUGUGUGUGUGUGUGUGUGUGUGUGUGUGUGUGUGUGUGUGUUUGAACUCAUUAGUGCCCAAGGUCACACAGUGAGUUAGAAGGGGACCCCACGUUGGCUGUCCACAAAACCUCGCCCUAUCUCUGUGUGGUGUCACACCCCUUUAAACUCAGCACUCAGGAGGCAGAGGCAGGCAGCUCUCUGUGCCUUGGAUGUCAACCUGGUCUACAUAGUGAGUUCUAGGCCAGCCAGGACUCCAUAGUGAAACUCUGUCUUAAGAACAAACACCUUUCUGAGAGCAGCCUCCAGAGCCCACCAGCCUCCUUUGAUAGAGACCUUGAAGACCUUCAAAGAUUGGGCUCCUGCGGUGACAAUGAGGGUGUAGAAUUUCUACCUCCCUCAGUGGCUGGGUCUGCCUGGUAGAGCCGAUUGCCGUUGCAUAUCUGGGCUCACUGUAGGUUUCUUGAGAUGUCCCAGGUACUAGAAGUCUGGGGAAAGAGAGGACAUAGAGCAUCUCCUCCUGCAAAAUGGGGACAGCUCGUGUGGCCACUGCUCACGGGUCCUUGCAUGCUGGGGCAGUGUUUGCCUCUCUCUUCCUCAGAGGAACCCCUUUUCCUUCCAUGAAGGAGGAAUGGGGUUUCUCCCUCUCGCUUCAGAGAACUUUGUUCUCGAGACCAGGGACAGCUUCAGUAUCCGGGUUGUGCUUGGCGCCCACGCUCACCACGGGGCCCUGCUGAAAGAGUGAAUUCCAAGUGCGUGGAGGGCUGUGGAUGACGUGUAUGAGUGUGAGUCUGUCAUGGAGCUAACCACCCAGGGCAGAGAUUUUUAUAACGGGAGCCUUGGUGAGCCUGUGCCUUAAUACCUGGGCACAGUGGACCCGAGGGAAAUUUGUCUCUGGAACAUCCCGGCUGAGCCUAAGAUCUAUACUGGCUGGGAACAGGAUGAUAAGUGGAGUUCCCUUUACCACAGGGCAAGGAAGUCUUCAGGGCUGUCCACAGUGAGCCUCUCUGCUAUCCCACAAGGGGGUCCUGUGCCAUAAGCAGUGGAUAGAGAAGAAGGCGUGAGAAAUGGGAGGCGCGUGCCUGACUCGCAGCCCAGACUCCUCCCCGCAGCUCUCGGCUCCGUACUUCUGUCUGAGUUAGUACAAAAGCCCUGCCCCACUCGUGGUCUCUUGCCCUGCGCUCCCAGCUCAAGAGCGCCAUGCGCCCAGCACGUCUUCCUCACUCCGGGGAUCAGCUCACGGAGUUUUAAAACCUACCGAGCUGGGUCGCCACAAAAUCCCGCAGCGCCACAACUUGGGGAAACGGUGACGGAGAUGUGGCCACACCGACCAUCUAAAGCGACCCCCAACUCCGAUGAAGCCUGGCUGGAAAGACGCGGCUUCCAUCCUGGGAGCCUGGAGGAGAAUCGAGCAGUGGCUAUUGCCUGGGCUUGCCUGGGCUUGUUCAGACAGGACUGCUCCCCUCGGUGACUGCACAGAUUGGGGGCUUUGGGAGACGUUGCCAGAAUCUGGAAGCCAAGGCCGGGGGCUACAGGGGCCCGGGGUCUGCGCACCUGCUCGCCGCGGAGCUCAGGAGUGCGUCCAGACAAACAACUUGACGGAGGAAAGCAAGAGAAAUGUAUUCGCUCGCAGUUCUGCAAGCCAAAAGUUUGAAACACAGCAGCGUCCACCCGUCUGUUGUCUCUGUGAAGGGAUCCCGCCCCAGCUUCCGAAGUCUGCCUGGGCCUGUGAUCCAGGGUCUGGUGUGGGAGGAAGGCAGAAGCCUGACUAUGAGGACAGAAGGGUCAGAAUACUAGUCGGACUACCAGAACCUGCCCAGGUACUGCCCCAGCGUGGAGGACGGCUGCUGGAACAAAGCCUAGUGUGUCUGUCGGCUCCCCUUGGGGUAGCUGAGCAAAGGUGUCGGCUUUGAGUUGCGGCUUCAUAAAGUGUUCCUCGGAGACAGGCACACCCUGAAUGAUGCCUGAGACCUGCUGGGCCGCUCCCAGCCACAGGCAGCUGCCUCCUGUUGCUAUGUGAAUUCCAUCAGGGUUCUCUCUGCUCCUUUCUCUGCCCCUCUGCUACCUUAGGAAAAAUGGGGGGUCUGGGGUCUGUAUUUCCGGUUUGAGUUUUACAGUUGGGAACCCACCCUGCAUCUACUGGGAAACCCUCCGUGUGCCUCCAGCUUCCUCUUUGGGCUCUUGCCUGCCGGUUCUCUUCGGCUGACUCUCAAAGACUCCCCUUCUUUGGACAGCUCAGAAGCACAUGGUCAGAACCCAAGUGACAGACGUCCAGCUGGCUUCAUCGCAACUGCGUCUGUGACCUUCCACCCAGACAGGGCUGUGUGUUGUAGAUGCUCCCCCUAUGCCAGGCACGGGGUGAAAGGGAAGAGAAGCGAAAUCUGCCUGCUCAGACCUCUUGAUCCUGGGUAACAAGGAAAUUGCCCUUGAUGCUCUCAGUCUAGGGCUCCGCCCCCCAGCUCAGCUAUGCCAAUCAGCACCUUGGUGAAUCCACCAAGCCAAGCCAUCCCCUUAACAAACCAGCAGCCCCCAAGAAUUCAGGGCUUCUUUCUGACAUCUAGGAGCAAGAGGGACAGAUGGACCCUGUGUGCUCACAGCAGAGUUUAGGAAGGGGACCCCUCACAGCUGAAGGCGGCCUCUGUGCUCCUAGAGGCAGCUGACCAUGCCUUUGCCCGUGGACAGCGCCGGGCCCUGUGGAUUCCAGGGUCUGGAGUAGAGCCAGCCAGCCCAUGGAUGGACAGUGGAACUGCUUUCUCCAAAUAGCUGCCUACAGAGAUAGAGCAGCCCUGAGAUUUGGCCCUGAGCGUGGCCAAGCACAGCUCCAGGCCCCACCCAGCCUCACCCAGCCUCACCCCCAUGACUGACUGGACAGGCCAGCAUGCUCAGGUGUGGAGACUGGGGGUUUUCCUCCCUCUCCCCCCUUCUCCUCUCCUCUCUGUUCUCUCUUUUCUCCAUUAGCUCUUGGAUUAGCAUCCAGAUGACUCAGGGGAGGCGGUCUGGUGCCUGCUUCCCUGGGCAAAGGAGCAGCGGUGGGGAGGGACAAGGAACAGGUGAGUGCACACCUCUGGAGGGGCCCAGGUAGGUGCUGGCAGCUUGCCUAGCUCCUAGCAGCUGUGCUAUGCCUGAGGGGGCAGUGAGCUGAGCAUGUCAGACAGGUGGAGCCAGGCUGCCCGUCCCAGACACACAGGUCCUCUCUUGGGUUACUGAACAGGGAAACACCCUUUCCUUUCCCCCACUGCCUUAGUUCCCUGGCACCUCCAGGGACCACUUCCAACAUCUGAAGAGGACACUGGAAGCGGAGAACGGGUUGCGAAUUCGCUUGGAGAGACCCUGGUUGAGUUCGAGUGUGGAAACACAAUCUUGGCCUUGGAGAAGCACUUGUGGUUUUCAGGCCCUUGGUUCUGAGAAGCCGAUCUCACAAGGAGCCCAAAUGUUUAGUGACAAAUUGAGGGGACAGGUCCAGAAACCUUAGGGAGGUCUGUCACUGGAAGAGAACUCUGGAAGAGAAGCUUUAUUGGGUAAUGUGAGCUUUUUCCUUCCGGGGGAGGGGAGGCUGCCUCUGCUCAGUGACAGCACCUGGCUUUAUUGGGGUGACCCUCUUUGGUUUCUGUAGGGGGGAGAAGGGCUAGACUUCCUCAAAUACAACCAUAAAUUACAGACACUUACUGGGAGUGGGUUCUCCUCUCCUCACUGAAGGUGGGGCCUCAGCCAAUCUCGGUUUCUCCAGACGGUCUCUGGUGAACUCCUGUCUGAGGAUGGAGGGCAGAGGGGGGUGGUUGUAUCAGCUGAGAACUAGCUCAUGGUGCUUCUUCCCCUGAAACCAGAAGGCUGUGUCUACCUAGACAAAUUGGGGCUGUGUUUACUGUCUCCUCUCUGUGGGCCACGCCCUCUUUGCCGGUUGGUCUCACGGAGCAUCUCCAUCCACAGGCCGAGUUUCGAGAGAGAACAGCCUCUUGGGAAAGCACCACACUGAGAGCAGAGGUUGGUUCCUGGUUGGUAAGUUUGGAGUUGUUUGUUUGUUUGUUUGUUUGUUUGUUUGUUUGAGAGCAGGGUCCUACUUUGCAGCUCAGGCUGGUUCGGAACUUACCUGGUAGCUUAGGCUAGCCUUGAACUUGUGACAGCCUCCCUGCCUCAGGCUCCCAGGAGCUAGGAUUACACCUAGGGCAGACGCGAUCAAAGCAUGUCUCGAAUGGUCAUGCUGCAGACAGGGACAGCAGUGAUUUUUUUUCCCCUUGCUAAAUGAGGACUUUAUUUUAUUUUUUUCAUUUUAUUUUAUUUUUUUGAGAUUGGAUUUAAGCACUUUGAUCCUCCUGCCAUAGCCCCCCAAAAUAGUUGCAUGUCAAGUAGACGGGUAGGCAGACACCAUUGUGUCUUUCCCCAAAGUCCAAAGGCUUUCCCGUACAUCCCAUUGGCUAGAAUGACACGUCACGCCUAGCCCCCAGCCUGUCGGUGUGGAGGGAAGGGGUCACCAACAGUUGUGUGAAUAGUGUGAGCGCAGGUUCCCAGAAGACCAGGAGAGGUUGUCCCUAUCCGCUGGAGGUUCAGGUAUAGGUGGUUGUGACACCGACUGGCAUCAGAGCUGGGAACCGAACUUGGGUCCUCUAGAAGAACAGCAAAUGCUCCUAACCACUGGGUCCUCAAGGUUUUGCUUUUUAGGGUUUUUUUUGGGGGGGAUGGGGGAUGGGGGUUAGCAUAUGAGGUGUUGUCUCCUCUUUGCAUCUUCAUACUCAUGUGUCUCGUUCAUUUUCCCUCCCCCUCCCCCUCCCCCUCCUCUUCCCCUACCCCUCUCUGUUUUUCUUCCUCCUCCCAGUCAGUCUCCUUCUGCUUUCUUAUGUCAUGAACGCCACGACUACCUCUGUUUCUCCCUUAAGAUCUCUUCCUCCCCUCUCAUGAUCCUCUAUUCUAUCCUCAGGGACCCUGCCCCCCAUAGAGACGCAGAUUUUAAACACAGGUUCUACAUGUAAGGAGCACGCAGUGCUUGUCUGGGUCUGGCUGGUUUGGCCUAACACCACGAUUUCCAUCUUCUGCUAUUGUCCUGAGUUCAUUUUUCUUGAUGGCUAUACAUAAAUUCCAUCCUGGAAAACCAAAUCCCAGCACUUGGGAGGCAGGCCGGAGGAUCUCUGUGAGUUCAAGACCAGCCUGAUCUACAUAGUGAGACCCUGUGUCAGAUGUAUACAUCCAGCAUAUAUACAUACCACACUCUCUUUAUUCAUUUCUUUCCCCUAUCUAGGAGCAUCUGCGCUGGUCCCACUGUCUGGGUAUUGUGAAUAGGGCAGCAAUGACCAUGGACGUUCAAAUGUCUCAUGGUGGGGUAGAAAGUCCUUUGGGUAAUACCCUUAGGGUAUGUGUCUGCGUCAUAUGGUGUGUCUAUAUUUAGUGUUUUUGAGGAACCUCCAGACUGAUUUCCAUAGUGUCAGCUCCCAUUUCAUAAGAUACUUUUAACACAAAGGCAGUCUCAAACAGCACGAACUGUUCUUAAUCCCUCGCCGCCCAGAGAGACCGUUCCUUCCCGUGAGUGCCUUCUCUCUCUUCCUCUCCCAUUCCUUCCUCUGCUUUCCUUUGCUUCUGUUUUUCCUUUGAUUAACCGUGCACUGUUGGCUGCCACAUACCCCAUCUGCAAGACCCAGUGAAGACUGAGGCUGUUCCGAUGGCUCAGUAUUAAGAGUACUUCCUGCUUUUGCAGAAGCCCUGGGCUUGGUUCCCAGCACGCAGAUAGUCCUCUUCCGGCCUCCAGAGAAGGGCACAUCUACAUUCAAUACCCAAAAUGUUUCGAAAAGACCUGGUAAAGGAAAACAUGAACUCCUGAAUUCUAGCAAGGUUGGCAGUUGAGUCCCCAGCUCCACCAGAGCAGAGGCCCCAGGCUGCAGCCCCAGAAGCCAGGAAGUCAUGGGCCAUUGACCAGGGCUUGCCUUGGUCCAGUGACAGGCUCUGAUUAUCUUGCACACAGCUCCUGAUGUGCCUGAGCCGGGCAGCAGGAAAUGGUGGUGCCUCCUCGGAGAGGGUUUUCAUUGUCUUUAUAUGAGGCUCCUGGCUUGUCUGGGGCUCCCUAUGUGCCUGAGGUGGCCUUGAACUUACCUUCAACUUCCUGCCUCUGCCAUCUGAGUCCUGCAUCAUGGGCAGAUGCUGUCACAUACUGAUCUUACCCUGAUAUUAAUAUGUGACUUUCCUGCAUGCAUGUCUGUGUACCACAUGCAAACCUGGAACCUGUGGAGGUCAGCUGAAGGCAUCAAAUUCCCCUGGAACAGAAGUUAAAGAUGGUUCUGAGCCACCACAGGGGUGCUGGGAACUGAAUUCAGGUCCUUUACAACAGAUGAAUGUUCUUAACCACUGAGCUAUCCUUCCUGCACCACUAAUGUUUGAGGUUCAAGACCUCCAAGUCAGCCCUCUUGAGUCCCAUCUCAGAUACUACUGCUCCUGAGUCAAGCUCCUCCCUGUUGUCUCUCAGGGCGGGAAGAGAUCAGUUACAGCAGUGGACCUAGGUCUCAGCACCCUCAGCCACGAUCCCCAUCCCACUCCCCAGACAGCCUUUCCAGUAACAUCUAUGCAAGGACAGAGCAAUGUCAUUGGCAAAGCCCAAGAGGAUGUGAGGAAUGUGGUCAGAACCACAGUGACCGUCCUCAGCGCUGUCCUCCGUUCAAGUUAGGGGAUUCAAGCUCUUGUCCUUGUGGUUCCCAGAUCACAAAUAAAAGAACAUUGCUUCUUAGAGAAGAGAAGGCCACGGCCCGGCCUCACCCCCAUCUCUUUUGUGAACGUGGUUUCUUUUCUUGAGGCCACCUCUGGGACCCCAGCUUGGCCAAGCCUCACUAGAGAACAUUGACAUGGCCUCUGGAUUCCCACACCCUAGGCAGGGGUGAGGUGAGGUGGGGUUUGUGGGCUUUUGGUUUCCCACACAGAUUGUGCCAACAGGGCUGUCUUGCUGGGGCCAGGUGACUGCCACAAGGCUCCUCCCAUGUGUAAAGCUUUUGUUUUGCUUUGCCAUUUUGAUUGUUUUUAAAGGCAGUUUCAUGUAGCCUAGGCUGUCCUCUGUGUCUUCCAAGCACUGGGAUAACAACUAUUAGAAACCACAGCUCCUUUCUAAAAGCUUUUCAUUCAUUCAUUCAUUCAUUCAUUCAUUCAUUCAUUCAUUCGUGUUAUGUGUGUGCACAGUCACAUAUCAGAGGUCAGCUUCUUGGAAUUUGAUCUUUCUAUUUAUCAUGUGGAUUCCAGGGAUCACGUUUAGGUCGUUAGGCUUGGCAACAGAGUCCCUUACUGUAGAAGCCGCUGCUGCACACCGCUCCCCCCCCCCACCCUUUGGCCCCACUUCCUAAGACACAGUCCUGGUAUGAAGGCUAGGCUGGCCUCAGACUCAGGCUUCUCUUGCCUCCACUGGAUUCUUGGGCUGUAAUCUACUGUGUCGGGCAGUGUUAUGUCAAGUGCCCUUGGAGAGGUGGAAAUGACACCACAUCCUCCCAGCCUAAUCCUCCCUAGCUGGGUGGUAGCAAGGGAGUCAGCUCAAAGGAGAAUCGGCGGCAGCUCCAGAUAGUGACCAGCAUGCGGAGGCACAAAGUGGGGCUGGCGAAGGCAGAGCCACUGCGAGCCAGUCAAGCUGCUAAGGGCCUCUCUCACAAUCCCCUCCGUCUUCGUGCGCUAUCUAUUUAAGUUCUCUAAGACCAUUUAGUGCUGUCUAUAUAUUGCAUUGAUAUAGAAUCAUCCACUGAAGACAAUCCUUCCUGGACUGUUUCCCUCAAGUCUGACCCCGCCCCCAGCCCAGCAGACACCAAUUGCCAAUCGCUCCUCAGCUAGGGGCGGGACUUCAUGAGCCCCGCCCCAGUCCACGCGGAGUUUUUGGCUGACUUGACCUUGUGGAGGUCUUAUGAGUACAGUCACAGCCACUGAGUUCCUGUGUGCACUGGCCCUGUGGUGUGUGGCAAAUACUGUUUCCCUGAAGACAUUUGUUACCUUCAACUCUUCAGGCCCCACCCCCUUCCUAGAGGACCGCCAAGCCUUUAGGGUGGGACACCACAGUCUUGUUCUCUGUAGGAAGACAACUUGUGAGUCUCUGUUAACCGCUGUCUACCACAGAAAGCGGCCUCUUUGCUGGGGUCGAGGGAUGCACAAAUCCGGAUCUGGACCCUUUUUGUUUGCAGUGCUGGGUCCCCUGAGGUCCCGCACCUGCCAGGCAACGGCUCCAUCAACUGAACAUUAAGGCAGCCGGCAGGUAAUGGUCAGUUUUCUGUGUAACUGGGGGCGGAGUCCACAGGCAUCCACCCGAACACCGGCCUAGGAGCCGCUUCCUGAGUCACUGCUCUGAAGAAAAGAGUGCACCCUAUCCUCUGACAACCAGUUGAGGAACCACACAAGGUUUCCCCGGAAGAAGAAACACUUCCUGACCGGCCGCACUGGUUAUUUGGGUUUGGUUGACGGCAGUCAUUGUUGUUUUGCGUUUCUUUGUUUGAUUACUGCAGGUGGGGAUGGGGUGCAUGUCAUAGCAUGUGUGUGUGCAGAGUUCAGAGGACAGCUUGCAGGAGUCAGUUCUCUCCUGCCAUGCAGGUUCUGGGAUCUAACUGAGGUUGCCUGGCUUGGUAGCAAGUGUCUUUGCCCGUUGUCUGCUGUCCCGUCUUACUGGCUCUUUUUUUUUUUUUUUUUCUUUUUUCUUUUUUUUUUUCGGAGCUGGGGACCGAACUCAGGGCCUUGCUUGCUAGGCAAGUGCUCUACUACUGAGCUAAAUCCCCAACCCCGCUCAUUUUUAUUCUUAAAGAUUUGCUUGUUUUUAUGGUGUAUAAAGUGCUUUGCCCGAUGUGUAUAUACUAUGUGUGUGCCUGGUGCCCCCGGAGGCCAGAAGAGGGUGUCAGAGGCUUGUAAGUCCCCAUAUAGGUGCUCAGAACUGAACCUGGAUCCUCUGUAAGAGCAGCAAGUGCUCUUUUUUUUUUUUUUUUUUUCCGGAGCUGGGGACCGAACCCAGGGCCUUGCGCUUCCUAGGUAAACGCUCUACCACUGAGCUAAAUCCCCAGCCCCAGCAGCAAGUGCUCUUAACCGCUGAGCCUUCUCUUCAGUCUCACCGUAUUGUCCAGGCCGGUCUUGAACUCCUGGCUCAGCCUCCUCAUGGAAGCCGGAAGGCAUUGCUGAACCCUCCUGGUGGUGCUGCCCCUCCAGCUGAACCCUGACUAGUGUGCCCUUUGUGGGUGCUGGGAUGGGGAGGCACUGACGUAGGCUGCUGCUUCUCUCCUGUGCUAGCAUGCUGGCUUCCAGGUGCUGGGGGAGUCUGCAGUGCCUUGGUAGGGUCCGCUACACGUCUUUCUCCCACAGCCUCUCCAUCCUCUUGCAGCUGCAGGCACCUCAGCCUGGGCCGGCCGGCUGUGAGUAAUUCUUUGGCAGUGUCUUAGCUGGUUGUUGUGAGUAUUAGCUAAGGAAGCAAUCAGCAAGUAUACUGCCCUAGAAGUGCUGCACGUUGUUAGGCCAAGAAGGAAAAGUCAGCGAUGCCCAGACCUCCGAGAGGCGCCAGGACUUCGGGAGCUGCUCUACCAUGCUGGUGAGUAAGGGUUGCUGGGAGAGGCUGGCUUUAGCACCCCAGGGGGAGCAUGUUUAGGGGUUCUGAGUGUCAGGGGCAGGCACAGGGACUGGGAUGUGAGCCACUUCUGGCUGAGAAAAGUUUGCAUGUAGGGGUAAUAAUUAUAGCAUGUAUGGAGUGUGUGUGGUGUGUGUUUAUCCUCCCAGCCAAGCAACCGCCAUCUUGGGGCAUUCAGCUGUGCCCCCUUGCAAAAGGAUUAUUCCAGCUGGGCUUGUUGACUGUUUUCACUUCCUCGUGGAGGGCUGGGGAGGGUAACAAGACCUUCACCUGAGUAUCCAGCGGCCUCUUUCCACCUGCUCCAUGCAACGCUGCCCCAAGUGCAUGUGGCCUCAGGGAGGGGCUCACCUGCAUAGCCUGGGUAAGCCCAAGAAGAGGGCUGUCACUGCGUAAAGGCUUUCUGCAUUUGGCCUGUUGGGAAAGCAAGCGUACACCAUCAGAGGUCUGCUGUGAUCUACAGGCAGACACACAUGGAUUCAAACCGAAAGGUAGCUGAGAACACAGAAGUCUCUAGCUGCUGUCCCUGGAGACGGGCACAGGGCUCAGAUCUGCCUUGCCGUUGAACCCACGAUGUCUCCUCUCGUGAAACAGAUUUCAAAUGCAUCUCAAAAAACCUGGAUCAGCCCAGCAUUCAAGAGGAUAAUUAGUUUGGUAGCCAGAGCUCAUAAUGAGUGUGAAACCCUCAAAAACAAAACAAAACAAAACAAAACAAAACAGGUACAAAUUCUCCUUUUCAGUCAAAGCCAGGCCCAGGAUGCUGAUGACCUUGAGGGAUAACCUCUGCCAUUUGAGGUCUAACCUUAGACUAAAGAUAGAUACCCCUCUCUUUUUUCUCUAUCUGGCAUUUUUUCCCCAGUUAUUUUAUUUCUUCUUAUGUGUGCAUGGGGGAGGUGUGCCAAGUGCCAUGUAUGGCUCCCGUGUGGAGGUUAGAGGUCAGCUAUAUGAAGUAAGUUUACUCCUCUCACCUUUCUGUGGAUUCUAGACCAGGUCCACAGACUGGUCAGGCUUGUGUGACAAGCACCUUUACAUGACGAACCAUCCCGACAGUUCUCUGGUUUUUAGAGACAGGGUCUCACUGUGUGGCCCGGGUUAGCCUUCGGCUUGUCAUGCAGACCAGGCUUGCCUCCCCCUUGAAGCAGUCCUCCUGCCUCAGCCUCCCAAGUGCUGGGGUGGCAGGCACAUGUCACCACAGCUGACCCCCUCCCUUUCUUCUAAUGUGGAGGGUGUGUGUGUGUGCAGCCACACUCUUAAGCCCCUUCCUUAAGGAACCAUACCUUCAGGAAUGGUUCUCUCCCCAAAUAGACCUUUGUACCGAGGGCUGCCUUUAGAGAGGCCCCUUUGUGAUGGGACUUGGUGGAUGGACCAUGCCCCAUGCCCCAUGCCCCCUGCCCACUCAGCCACACACUCAGUCAGUUUCACAGCCUUGGGGAACCAGGCGUGGGCUGAGUGGGGAGGCUGAAAUGCCAGGAAUGCUGAGUACUGACAGGAGAGCUCACAGUCCUCCCGGAGGAUUGCCCGCAGCCGCACACACGAGAGCGCCUGUGCGCGAGCACAGGCUUAGCAUUUUUUUCAGUUUUCAGAACAGCAUCCUUUGGUGCUGAAGCAAUGGCUCAGGGGUUAAAAGCAUCAACUAUGCUUCCGGAGGACUGGGGUUCAAUUCCCAGCACCCACAGGGCAGCUCACACCUGUCUAUUCCUGCAGUUCCAGAGGAUGUGACCCCUCACACAGACAUAUAUGCAGGCAGAAGUCAAGAAUGCCUGACCCUCCUCCCCCCAGCAAUUGACUGGCCCUGGGCUUGUAAAUUAAAGGGGCUGCACUCUGGCUUCUUGUGUGUAUUAGCUUGGAUUCAAGGGAAGUCAUUUUUAAGAUAUAUAUAUAUUAUAAAUAUAUAUAAUUUAUUUUUAUGUUAUGUUUAUGGGUGUUUUGCCUGCAUGGAUGUCUGUGUGAGGGUGUCAGAGCACUGGAACUGGAAGUUAGUUUGUGGUUUCAGUUCGUGCUGGGAAUUGAACCCAGGUCCUCUUGAAGAGCAUCCAGUGCUCUUAACCGCUGAGACAUCCCUCCAGCCCCAAGUGAAGUCAUUUUCAAAAACUUUCUUUUCCAGCCCAGCUUGGCUUUUUAUUUGUGCCAGUAGAAGAACGAGAAAAACUGUCCUUUUUUAAAGAGAAAUCUGUAAAAAUGCCUGGAUUGAUGGGUAUGGGCUACUAGCAUUUAAUCGGAGCCUCUGAGGGCAGAAGCGGGUGGAUCUCUCCAAGUUCAAGGCCCACCUGAAUUAUGUGUAGUGAGACCUUGUCUAAAUAAGAAAGAAAAGAAUUUAAAUGUCUAGAUAAUAAGGAUUCAGAAAUGGCAGCUGGGCGGGGUGGCAUAUACCCGUAAUGCUAACACUUGAGGGGUGGAGGCAGGAGGAUCAGUUCAAAGCUGACUGGGGUUACACAAGAUCCCACCUCAAAAACAGAAGAGCAGGGCUGGAGAGGUGGCUCAAUGGUUACUGCUUUUCCAGAGGACCUGGGUUCACUACUACUAAGUCAGCCAUCUUUAACUCCAGUUCCUCGGGACCUGAUGUCCCCUGCUGGCCUCCAUGGAUAUUGCAUGCAUACGGUGCACGGACACAUGCAGAGAAAAUACCUAGGCAUAUAAAUCAAGUAAUCUUUACAACGUUUAAAAAAAAAAAACAACAACAACAGAGAAGUAACAUGAUAAUGUGAAUUUAUUUAGUGCUGGGAUACAGCCAGGGCCUGAAUUAGACUUUGUAGAAGCUGGUUGGUGUAUGAAGGUCACACGAGAGGACGCUCAGUGUCGGGCAAGUGUGGAAGUUCUGUACUGUUCUUAUUCCAUCAGCUAAGAUUUUUUUCCAAAAUAAAACGUUUAUUAAAAGCAAAA